rnacentral:rRNA from 1 species
UACGCAGGGGGCGAGCGUUGUUCGGAAUUACUGGGCGUAAAGGGCGCGUAGGCGGCGACUCAAGUUAGAUGUGAAAGUCCUGGGCUUAACCUGGGGACUGCAUUUGAUACUGGGUUGCUUGAAUUCGGGAGAGGAUAGCGGAAUUCCCAGUGUAGAGGUGAAAUUCGUAGAUAUUGGGAAGAACACCGGUGGCGAAGGCGGCUAUCUGGACCGACAUUGACGCUGAGGCGCGAAAGCGUGGGGAGCAAACAGG